rnacentral:rRNA from 1 species
AUGAAUGUCAUUUCUUCAUUUAUCACAGACCAAGCCCGUGCAAUGGAGAGGGCUAUAUGUUCCCAGUGGCCUGAUACAACUCACAGAUGGUGCAAAUGGCAUGUAUUGCAAAAAGCAAGGGAACAUCUAGGUUCUGUUUAUUCAAAAAACAGUGAUUUUAGAGACGAGUUUCACAAACUUCUCGAGUAUAUGGUCACAGUAGAUGAACUUGAAACCGCAUGGGCCAGCUUGAUUGAGAAAUAUCAACUUGCAGACCACCCAUGGCUCACUCAAAUAUAUGAAGUUAGAACAAAAUGGGCAAAGCCAUAUUUUGCAGGUGUGUUCUGCGCAAGGAUGACGAGCACACAGCGUUCCGACAGUGCAAACCAUAUGCUCAAGAAUUAUGUGCAGUCGGCAUUGUCCAUGAACAAUUUUGUAAGGCAGUAUCAAAAAUUAUUGUUUGAUAGACAAUCAGAGGAAGAUUUUCAAGCGAAGAAGACUCGUGUGGGUGGCGUUGUCUUCAACCUGGGAGUGCCUCUAGAAUACCAUGCAAGCAAGGUCUACACUGCAGCUAUGUAUGAGCUGUUCCAACACGCAAUUUACUUGUCAGGGUCAUUUGUGUUACAAGAGGCCUGGCAGACAGAACAAGGCGUGGUCUACGUUGUUAACCACAUCUAUGCAGAGAGGAGGCAAGCAUGGUCCAGGACACAAUAUCAUGUUCUGUUUCAUCAGGGGUCCGGAGGAUAUUUAUGUGAGUGUGGUCUUUACUCACAUAUGGGUAUGUUGUGCUGUCAUGCUAUUCGGGUGCUGCUACAUCUUGGAGUUAGGGACAUCCCAGAAGUACACAUCAUGAAGAGAUGGACGAAGAACGCCUGCGAGAACCUGCCAGUGCAUCUGAUGAUAUAUAAAGCAUGCAAUUCUGCACUGAAGGACGCAACUUAUCGGCACUCUUCCUUGUACAGUAAGGCGCUCGAGAUUGUCCAAAUGGGGGACAAGAACACUGAAGCUUAUGGAGCUGCAAUGAAGCAGUUGCUGGACGCAAUAAGUGUUCUAAAUGAUAUCAACCAGGAGAGCGAUGGGCGAGGGUUAAAUGAUCAAGCCACUGCUCAAGCACAUGACCAAGAUGUCCCUGUGACACCAGGAGCAAAUGGUCUGUCAGGUUCAAUGAAUGUUGUAUCAUGCAAGAGGGAUCUAGGCAGGCCAACAAACGCAAGAGCAAAGCCAGGUUAUGAAAAUGUCAGCAAGCCAAGAACAAAGUUUUGCUCAAUCUGUAGAGGGAGGGGUCACAAAGCAUCGGGAUGCCCCUCAUAUGGAGGGGUAGCAAAGAAAAAAAGGAAAGUUCCAAAGUGUACAAAGUGCGGCCUGGAAGGCCACAAGAGGAAUAACUGCUCAGGAAGAAUGUUCGGCGUCUUCCAAUGA